rnacentral:rRNA from 1 species
UUUAAAUUGAGAGUUUGAUCCUGGCGCAGGACGAACGCUGGCGGCGUGCCUAACACAUGCAAGUCGAGCGAUGAAGCUUCCUUCGGGGAGUGGAUUAGCGGCGGACGGGUGAGUAACACGUGGGUAACCUGCCUCAAAGAGGGGGAUAGCCUCCCGAAAGGGAGAUUAAUACCGCAUAACAUUAUUUUAUGGCAUCAUAGAAUAAUCAAAGGAGCAAUCCGCUUUGAGAUGGACCCGCGGCGCAUUAGCUAGUUGGUGAGGUAAGGGCUCACCAAGGCGACGAUGCGUAGCCGACCUGAGAGGGUGAUCGGCCACAUUGGAACUGAGACACGGUCCAGACUCCUACGGGAGGCAGCAGUGGGGAAUAUUGCGCAAUGGGGGGAACCCUGACGCAGCAACGCCGCGUGAGUGAUGAAGGUUUUCGGAUCGUAAAACUCUGUCUUUAGGGACGAUAAUGACGGUACCUAAGGAGGAAGCCACGGCUAACUACGUGCCAGCAGCCGCGGUAAUACGUAGGUGGCAAGCGUUGUCCGGAUUUACUGGGCGUAAAGAGUAUGUAGGUGGGUGCUUAAGUCAGAUGUGAAAUUCCCGGGCUUAACCUGGGCGCUGCAUUUGAAACUGGGCAUCUAGAGUGCAGGAGAGGAAAGUGGAAUUCCUAGUGUAGCGGUGAAAUGCGUAGAGAUUAGGAAGAACACCAGUGGC